rnacentral:rRNA from 1 species
AGGAGGGGCCUAGCACAUGCGAGCCGAGGGGCACGAGAUAGCAAUACUUGUCGGGGACCGGCGCACGGGUGAGUAACGCGUAUGUAAUCUACCUUUAACUGGGGCAUAGCUCAGAGAAAUCUGAAUUAAUUCCCCAUAACACUGCGAAGUGGCAUCAUUUUGCAGUUAAAGCUCCGGCGGUUAAAGAUGAGCAUGCGUGCCAUUAGCUUGUUGGUGAGGUAACGGCUCACCAAGGCAGCGAUGGUUAGGGGGUCUGAGAGGAUGAUCCCCCACACUGGUACUGAGACACGGACCAGACUCCUACGGGAGGCAGCAGUGAGGAAUAUUGGUCAAUGGGCGCAAGCCUGAACCAGCCAUGCCGCGCGAAGGAUUGAAGGGCCUAUGGGUUGUAAACUUCUUUUGUACGGGACGAAACCUUCGGACGUGUCCGAAGCUGACGGGUACCGUAAGAAUAAGCAUUGGGCUGACUCCGUGCGCAGCAGCCGCGGGUAAUACGAAGGACGCAAAGCGUUAUCCGGUAUUCAUGGGGGUUUAAAGGGGCGCUUUCGGCAGAUUUGUAUAGUCAGUGGUGAAAAGCCUGGAGGUUUAACUGGCGAAUUUUCAAUUGAAACUAAUAGGUUCUCUACCUAUGGUUGAGGUGCGCCGGAAUUUCCUAAUGGAAGCCUUUAAAUGUCAUAGAUAUCGCGCUGAAGGCCGAUUGGCCCUUGCAGCUCGCCAGCUGAGUAUUGUCGCUGAGGCAGGAAAGCGUGGGCAUCGAACAGGAUUAGAUACCAUUCUAGCCCUCCAAUCGUUGGAUGAUGGCUCGAUCUUGGCCCGCAAGGGUCACGGUCGUAGCGCUAGUGUUCAGUCAUCCGUCUGGGGAAUACGCCGGCAUCGGUGAAACUCAAAGGAAUUGACGCGGGUUCCACAACCGGAGGAACAUAUGGUUUAAUUCGAUUUACGCGACAACCUUACCCAGGCUCGAAUCCGAAGGAACGAAUGUGGGGGAAACUUCACAGCCAGCAAUGGCGGUCGGCGAGGUGCUGCAUGGUUGUCGUCAGCUCGUGCCGUGAGGUGUCGGCUUAAGUGCCAUAACGAGCGCAACCCCUAUCGGUAGUUGCCAGCGGGUGAUGCCGGGAACUCUACCGAGACUGCCAGCGCAAGCUGCGAGGAAGGCGGGGAUGACGUCAAAUCAGCACGGCCCUUACGUCUGGGGCGACACACGUGUUACAAUGGCCGGUACAGAGGGCAGCCACCCAGCGAUGGGGCGCGAAUCUCGAAAGCCGGUCGUAGUUCGGAUCGGAGGCUGCAACCCGCCUCCGUGAAGCUGGAUUCGCUAGUAAUCGCGCAUCAGCCAUGGCGCGGUGAAUACGUUCCCGGGCCUUGUACACACCGCCCGUCAAGCCAUGGAAGCCAGGGGUACCCAAAGCCAGUAUUCUAACCGCAAGGAGAAGCUGUUAAAGGAAAACCCC